rnacentral:ncRNA from 1 species
UUCAAUAAUGUGUGGUCAUAUAUAUAAAAUAAGUGUCACAAUCUCCAAUUUUCUAUCGAUAUAAACUAAUUUAAACUGUGAAAUUGUAAAUGACUCAUUAAAUCAGUAUUGAUAGUACAUGCUACUUGUAAUAACUUUAGAGUUGUGCGACAAACACUGGCUUUGAGGACGGGCCUAUUUAUUAUUAGAUAAAAGGUUGAUCAGGCUCUGCUCGCUCAUCUGAUGAUUCAUGAUAACUUACGGGUUACAUGACCCAUUGUGUUGUUGACGCAUCAUUCAAAUUUUUGCUCUAGUAAUUUUUGACAGUAGGAUAAGAGUUUAUUAUGGUGGUGAUGGGCGACCAAUAAUAUAGUUUGACUCUGGAGACUGAUAAUAAGAAACAACUACCACAUCCAGAAAGGCAACAAACACACAAAUUAUCCAAUCCUAACAUAGGGUAGUAAUAAUAAAUAAUAAUAUUGGGCGCGUUGGUGUCUAGUAGUUAGAAUGGUACAAUCCAAAUCCCUUAACAAGGAUUCCUUAGAGGGCAAGUCUGGUGCCAGUAGCUACAAAAAUUUUAGAUCCAACAGUGUAUAUUUGAGUUGUUGCAGUUAAAAAUCUCAUAGUUGGACCUUAGGGCUCGGGUCGGGUUGAGUUUGAAUCAUGGCAAAAACUGAUCUACUCGACCUUUCUAUCGCUGAUGCGCUCCUACCUCCUAGCCUUUUUGUUUGGGUCAUGCUUCGAUGUUGUUACUUUCAAGAAAUUAAAGUACUCAAAGUAACCCAUCGCUCUAGAUACAUUAGCUUGGAUAACAUCAUCAGAUUCUAUGUGUUGUUUGCUUCUACUUAUUAGCCAAAAUCAGUUGUACUUUUUCAGCCACAGAAUAUUAUUUUCUCUCACAACAAAUCAGCAUCAGACAUAAAAAUGCUAGCGAACAUGGUAAAUGAUUAAUAGGGACAGUCGGAAGGAGAGGUGCAAUUCGUAUUUCAUAGUCAGAGAUGAGAUUUUUAGACUUACGAACAACAAACAACUAUGGAAGAAUUUGCUAGGAAGCUCGAAGAUGAUCAGAUAGUAUG